UACAGAUUUUCUUGAUCCUGGUUGAACAAUGCAAGAAGUAAAAGAAUAGUAAGUCAAGAGAAGAAAAUAGAACAAUAAACUAGACUACUAAGUUUUAUUCCCAUCUAAAAUGAGCACCGAAAUAGCAAAUAUCUAGUCAUAGUUGUUCAGAAGUCAUAGCAGCAAAAAGGUCUUCAUUUGAUUACUUCAGAAUCAAAGACAAACCUUUGGACUCGAU
rnacentral:misc_RNA from 1 species